AGAGCGAACGCUGGCGGCGUGCUUAACACAUGCAAGUCGAACGAGGUCUGUAGCAAUACAGAUACUCGUGGCGAACGGGUGCGUAACACGUGGAUAACCUUCCUUCAGGUGGGGAAUAACCCAGUGAAAUUGGGCUAAUACCGCAUAACAUGACGAUGCCACAUGGUGUUGUCUUCAAAGGCGCAAGUCGCCAGAAGAGGGAUCCGCGGCCGAUUAGCUAGUUGGCGAGGUAAUGGCCCACCAAGGCAGUGAUCGGUA
rnacentral:rRNA from 1 species